rnacentral:snRNA from 1 species
ACCUUUGCGCCGUGGCAGUAUCGUAGCCAAUGAGGUUUAUCCGAGGCGCGAUUAUUGCUAAUUGAAAACUUUACCAAUGUGAGAUAGUCUUUUUCUAUUAAAUUUUUUAAAAAGAUUUUAUUU